UACGUAGGGUGCGAGCGUUGUCCGGAAUUAUUGGGCGUAAGAGCUUGUAGGCGGUUUGUCGCGUCUGCCGUGAAAAUCCGAGGCUCAACCUCGGACUUGCGGUGGGUACGGGCAGACUAGAGUGUGGUAGGGGAGACUGGAAUUCCUGGUGUAGCGGUGAAAUGCGCAGAUAUCAGGAGGAACACCGAUGGCGAAGGCAGGUCUCUGGGCCACUACUGACGCUGAGAAGCGAAAGCGUGGGGAGCGAACAGG
rnacentral:rRNA from 1 species